CCACGACAAUGGUCUAAGCGCGACAGCGGUGAGCGGCGGCCAUACAUUGAAGCGAGACACAGCGAUGGGACUUUUCAUUCGCACGUAUGGCUGCCGCUCACCGCUGUCGCGCUUAGACCAAUGUCGAGGCUGAGCCGUAACUCUGCUGAAGUACGUAUAGAGUGUAUAGUUUAUAGUAGGUAUAUUCAGUGCUAAGUCGCUAACUGCCCAAACCUUGAUAGUACAUAGGUGUAAGAACAAACCUCAAUGAUGGGUUAAUUUUCCAUCCUUCUCUUUUUUUAAUUAUAAAUAAUUAAGUAUUUUAUACUAUAGGUAAAUCAUUGCAGAGUAAUCUGAACAUCUGACGGGCAAGCACGGUCGCGUGAUAUGGCCUGUGCGUCUUUUUCGCACAUUCUGUAAGUACUAAAGUCUCGCACCGACACGAUAAGCUUUAUCACGCUACCGUGCUUGCCCGUAUGAACAGGCCUAGGCUCUUCAGGCUCGUGUCUAACAUCUUGGCAUUGGCUAUACAUAAUUAUUUAGACGCGUUAUCUGAUACGCGUGAGUACCUUGGGCGCUCAGAUAUAUCUGUCUGGAUGGCUAAUUGGCUAUUAUAAAUAUUAUGUAGGUACUUAAUAGUUAACACAUUCGUGGACACGUAUGCUAUAUACGCGUAGUCAUUUGUUUCCUUUGGUCUAUGACAGAUGACGUCACUAGCCUUCUGUGAACGUGUUAAAAGGUAUUCCUGAAUUUAAAUGUAUAGAUGGACAUAGUCCCCAAUAUACCUGUAAUAUAAUUAUAAGUGUAAAUAAUAUUUAUUAAAUUAUAAGAAAACAUUUCAUCUAUUAUUUAGAAUCUUAUACAUUUAAGUUGCUAAAGCUUCCAAUUACCUUUACGGUUUAUUUUAUGUUUCAUGGUUUUGCAUGGUUUCAACGAUCUUGUAAUAUACUAUUUUUUACUCCCGGACUGUUAUUCGUCAUUUACAGAGUCGUCAUAGAUCUUUAAAACCCUACGUAAAAGUCCCCAAAGCCAGCGCCCGCCGGUAUCCCGCGCACGCGCGCAGUAACAAAAAAAAAUUGAAAACGCAUAGUUUGGCUCUGUAACCAUGGCAAACGUUCGAUAUUUGAAACAAAUGACUAACUAUGAUCGGUCAAUUCCAUCAUCGCAAGUAUGAUUAUUUUCUCAAACAUGAUAUGAAAUAUUGGUGUUAUGUUCCUUAUGUCUAGGCAAUAUUUUGGUGCCUACGGUUUGAUUUUUUCGGAUUUUUUUUUAUUUUUUGCUUUCUCGCUUUUUACCAGUUCCAGUUGGUGUGGUGAAAAAAAUGAAAGUUAGCUAGUUAAUAUUACUUAACCUAAUUUACUUAUUGUAAAUCGAUAAAAGUUUCAAACCUACAAUGAGCGUACUCCCUCUUAAAGGCCAACAACGCAUCUACACCAUAACGUCCAUAACCCUUCAGGUGUUUCGGGUGACAAUAGGCGGCGUUGACCGCUUACCAUCUCUGCUCGUUUAGGUAGAGUUUGGUGAGAUUACUAGUGUAGCAAAUGUUAACCUUAAUGUAACCCAUUCUCCAAAUGCAUGAAUAAAUAAUUUCAUUUUCCUAUCUUUUAAAAAAAGUUGAGUAAAAACAUAUUUUAAUCAUGUUAAUACGGAAACGUAGAAGCCUAUCUAUUCAAAGAAACUAUUCUGAUUAAUUAAAUUUCAUACGCAAAACAAUGAAUUGACUAGUUUCUGACAUAAUUAUCAUAAUUCAGAUUUGGCAAUCAAAUUUCCCUGAAACUGUUACUGCCUAGCUAUGUGUCAUGAUAGACAACAGUUUUAUCGAUGAGAUACCGCAAGUGGCCAUACAUUAGUAUCUUAUCAGCCCAUAACUGGCAUCAAUUUGGCCAGAAUUGAAAUAAAAUACCUAGCAAUAUUAGUACAUUGCUGUAACUCACAAAGACAAAACAAUAAACAUGGGUGGGUGCAGCAGUUGCUGUGGCGACGAUGGCGGCGGCGUGAACGUUGCAGACCAGCCUCCGAUGCACGACAUGGGUUACCCUCAAAUGGCGGACGAUGGCGGUGGUGUGAUGGUGGUCGAUAGCCCUCCUGGCCCGGGACCGAUGGGAAGAUAAAAAUAUGUUCAGUGUCACUAGAAGCAGCAAAUUAAAAAAAAACCAUUAUAUUAUUAUAUGUCUAGUGACAAACUUGUUUGAUCGGCUAUGGAUUGAAAUUUCUGCUUGUUAAUGUUAUUUUGUAGUUUAUGGGUAAUAAAUAAUAAUAAUUUAUUUUAAUUAAGUAA
rnacentral:lncRNA from 1 species